AGAGAGAGUCUUUGUCUCAAGGCUCCAAAGACUACAUUGCCCUGAUGGUUCUGCCAGGUCUGAUUCCACCUGCAGUCUUCAGGAUGGGCCGAAAGACCGUGAGGACUACAGUGUCUGACGCCAUGAAGGCCUUCAUCGAUCUUAAGCCUGUCGGAGCCAACAUGGUGGAGUACCUUCAGGCAGCAGAGCAGACCAGGCCAUACCCCUGCACCCUGGUGUUGGGAGGCGAGGAGCGCUGCUCUCAGGCAUUC